rnacentral:rRNA from 1 species
GACGAACGCUGGCGGCGUGCUUAACACAUGCAAGUCGAACGGAAAGGCCCUGCUUUUGCGGGGUGCUCGAGUGGCGAACGGGUGAGUAACACGCGAGUAACCUGCCCCUGUCUUUGGGAUAUCUUCUGGAAACUGGGGCUAAUAUCCGAGAGGAGCUCUUGCUGCAUGGUGGGGGUUGGUAAGAUUCGGCCGUUGGGGAUAGACUCGCGGGUUACGAGCUUGUUGGGGAGGUAGUGGCUUACGAAGGCUUUGACGGAUAGCCGGCCUGGGAGGGUGACCGGGGACAUUGCUACUGAGAUACGGCGCAGACUCGUACGGGAGGCAGCGGGGGGGAGCAUUGCACAGUGAGGCGGCGCCUGAUGCGGCGACGCUGCGAGCGGAAUGACGGCCUUCGGGUUGUGAACCGCUUUCUCCUGUGACGAAGCGUGAGUGACGGUACUGGGUAAAGAAGCACCGGCUAACUACGUG